rnacentral:rRNA from 1 species
UACGAAGGGGACUAGCGUUGUUCGGAUUUACUGGGCGUAAAGCGCGCGUAGGCGGAUAUUUAAGUCAGGGGUGAAAUCCCAGGGCUCAACCCUGGAACUGCCUUUGAUACUGGAUGUCUGGAGAUCGGGAGAGGUUGGUGGAAUUCCGAGUGUAGAGGUGAAAUUCGUAGAUAUUGGGAAGAACACCGAUGGCGAAGGCAGCCAUCUGGACCGACACUGACGCUGAGGCGCGAAAGCCAGGGGAGCAAACGGG